rnacentral:tRNA from 1 species
GGAAAGGUGGCCGAGUGGUUUAAGGCAGCGGUCUUGAAAACCGCCGACGGUGAAAGCUGUCCGUGAGUUCGAAUCUCACCCUUUCCGCCA